UACGGAGGAUGCAAGCGUUAUCCGGAUUCAUUGGGUUUAAAGGGUGCGUAGGCGGGGCAGUAAGUCAGUGGUGAAAUCCUGCGGCUUAACCGUAGAACUGCCAUUGAUACUGUUGUCCUUGAGUAUAGUUGAAGUGGGCGGAAUAUGUAAUGUAGCGGUGAAAUGCAUAGAUAUUACAUAGAACACCAAUUGCGAAGGCAGCUCACUAAGCUAUCACUGACGCUGAGGCACGAAAGCGUGGGGAGCGAACAGG
rnacentral:rRNA from 1 species